GAAAAAACAGAGCGGGGAUGUUCUGCUGGUUUAGUACAGGAAAAAUCUCUAACUGGAACAUUUUGAAACACAGCCUCUGGAAUCUGCCAGUCUACCAGGACUGGUUUCAUCCAUCUCCACGGACAAAUCCAGGGGGUUUGGCUAAGCCACAGCCAGAGCCUGACAUGGAAAGCAGGGAGCCAUUCCCAGUUAAAGUGGUUCUCUCCGGAGGAUUCUCCCCAAAGUCGAGUCCUUGAGCAACUCCUCAGGCAAACUGAGAGCAGAGGAUCCAACAUUCCCAGCAGUGUGAAUCGAUGUGCUGAGAGAGCCUCUGGAACCAGGUACCUGGAGAA